rnacentral:lncRNA from 1 species
UCUAUUCCAGGGAUCAGAAAACUUUUUUCUGUGAAAGGCCAAGUAGUAUAUGUUGCCCAGGCUGGUCUCUAACUACUAGGCUCAAGCAAUCCUCCUGCCUUUGCCUCCCAAAAAUGAUAGGAUUACAGGCCUGAGCCACUGUGCCCAGCAAUUUUAUAAAUAUUAUGAACUCAAUUAUGUCUGGUAACUGCGAAAGUAGUGAGUGUAUUUAAAGUGCUAUUAAUAGAUACACGCUGGGUGGUGGGAAGAGGACGCAGCUGACUGGGAGGGGGUAUG